GACGAACGCUGGCGGCGUGCUUAACACAUGCAAGUCGAACGGAAAGGCCCUGCUUGCAGGGUACUCGAGUGGCGAGCGGGUGAGUAACACGUGGGUGAUCUGCCCUGCACUUCGGGAUAAGCCUGGGAAACUGGGUCUAAUACCGGAUAGGAGCCAUUUUUAGUGUGAUGGUUGGAAAGUUUUUUCGGUGUAGGAUGAGCUCGCGGCCUAUCAGCUUGUUGGUGGGGUAAUGGCCUACCAAGGCGGCGACGGGUAGCCGGCCUGAGAGGGUGGACGGCCACAUUGGGACUGAGAUACGGCCCAGACUCCUACGGGAGGCAGCAGUGGGGAAUAGUGCACAAUGGGCGCAAGCCUGAUGCAGCGACGCCGCGUGGGGGAUGACGGCCUUCGGGUUGUAAACUCCUUUCGCUAGGGACGAAGCUUUUUGUGACGGUACCUAGAUAAGAAGCACCGGCUAACUACGUG
rnacentral:rRNA from 1 species